CCUACGUGUGGCAGCAGUGGGGAAUAUUGGGCAAUGGAGGCAACUCUGACCCAGCAAUGCCGCGUGAGUGAUGAAGGUAAUUUUAUUGUAAAGCUCUAUUCUUUGGAACGAAUAAAUGACGGUAGCAAAGAAAUAAGCCUCGGCUAACUACGUGCGAGCAGCGGCGGUAAUACGUAGGGGGCAAGCUUGGUUCGGAAUGACUGGGCGUAAAGGGUGGGUAGGUGGUUUGAUAAGUUAGAUGUGUAAUACCCAGGGCUUAACUCGGGUGCUGUUUCUAAUACUGUUAGACUUGAGUACUGGAGAGGUUAGUGGAAUUCCUAGUGUAGCGGUGGAAUGCGUAGAUAUUAGGAGGAACAGCAGUGGCGAAGGCGACUAUCUGGACAGCAACUGACACUGAGGCACGAAAGCGUGGGGAGCAAACAGGAUUAGAUACCCCUGUAGUC
rnacentral:rRNA from 1 species